AUAAAAUUUUAUUUUGGUUUAGAAAUUAAGUUUAAGUUUUUAUUAUAUGUAAAUAUUUAUUAAAGAUUAAUUAGCAGUAAUUAGAAUUAAAUAUCUAAGAAAUUAGGAUUUAGAAAUAUUUAAUAAUAUAAACAAAAUUUGUGCCAGCAGUUGCGGUUACACAAAUUAUGUAAUUUAAUUUGUAUAAAUUAUAGUUUAUUUAAGUUAAAAAUUUUAAUUGUAAAUUUAUUAAGUGAAAUUUUAAAUUUAUAAAAAAUUUAUAGAAGUUAAAAAAUUAGGAAAAUUUAAGGAUAAACUAGGAUUAGAUACCCUAUUAUUUAAAUAGUAAUUUAAAAUUUAAUUAGUAUUAGUUAUGAUCUUGAAAAUUAAAAAAUUUGGCGGUAUUUUAGUCUAUUCAGAGGAACCUGUUUGGUAAAUGAUAAUCCACGAUUAAAUUUACUUAUUUUUUUUAGUUUAUAUAUCGUUGUAAUUAAAUAUUUUAUUAGAAUUUAAUAUUUAAGAUUUUUUAUUAUAAAAUAAAUCAGAUCAAGAUGUAACAUAUAAAUAAGUUAAAAUGGGUUACAAUAAAAUUAUUUUUAGGAUAUUAAUUAUUAUAGUUAUUUGAAUAUGGAUUUGAAAGUAAUUUUGAUUAUUUAAUUAAAAUGAUUUUAGCUCUAAAAUAUGCACAUAUUGCCCGUCGCUUUCAUUUAAAAUGAAAUAAGUCGUAACAAAGUAGAUUUACUGGAAAGUGAAUCUAGAUUCAA
rnacentral:ncRNA from 1 species